GACAGGGUAAUCCAUCUGCUAAAGGCCUAGGCUCUUAGAGGGGAAACCCGGGUUUUAAUCUUAGCUUCUUCUUUGUGAUCUGGGGCACAGAUGGGCACUUCUCUGAGCCCCCUUCUCCAUGUGCAGAAUGAAUAUCCAGCCCUUCUCCCUGACGAGAACUUCGUAGAUCCCAGGAGCGCCUACACCCGCUCUACUCGCUCCUGGAAGAAUUUGUGCUGCCGGUUAGGACCGCAGACUCUGGAACUAAAAGGCCUGGGCUUCAACCCGCGCUCAGCUGCCAGCUGUCUGACCUUGGCCCAAUGAUCUAGCCUCUCUGAACAUCCUACUUCUCGGUCCACAAGACCAGGGGAAAUAGUUGCACCGACGCCGUCAUUUGUUGAUGCAACAAGCCACGGCAUGCAUGAAAUACGGAGAGUUCCUGGUACACAGCAGGGCUCGUCGCGGUGACCCACAGCGAGCUCGGUCACCUUCCCAGCAGCCUGUUCUUGAAUCCUGUUUCACAGAGAACCCCAAGCUGAGUGGAUGUGGAUGAAGCCACAGGGGACAGCCCUGAGACCCCUAUUGAGCACUGGCCAGCAGGAGACCGCCCCCUGGUGGGCGGAAAUUCUCGGAGCUGGAGGACUGGAGCCUGGGAGAGUAGACAGCGCAAACCAGGACCACGCACACGCUGUCCUUCCUGCCCGUACUGCCCCUGAUGAGUCUGGCCAACUACAUACUCGCACCUAAGUGUUUCCUGGAGCAGGUUACUUCUCUCCAGCACACUCCCUGAUCAGAGUCACGGUCACCAGAGGACCGUGGCAGUCGCCCUGUCCUGGCCUCCCUGCUUUCACCUUGGCCCACGCCCGCAGUUGGCAGGUAUACGCUGAGAACUAUGGUCAGAACACGGUCUCCACUGCUCGUCUCGCUCCAACGGAUCCUGGCUGGUUUCCACACUUCGCCCCAUUCUCCCUGCUCCCCAAGCACCUUCCCUGGGCCGCUUCGUCCCGGGGCUGCCCGGCUUGCACGUCUUCACCGGCUUCACCCCUUCCCCCAUCUCUGUCUCCCAAACCCGGCCUGUGCCUCCCGCUUGCAUCCAGACCCAGUUCCCCUAAGGCAUCCGGGCGCCCUGAGGCAGGGGCUUCACCAGAAUGAGCGGUUCUCAACCAGGGGCCAUUCUGCAGUGUCUGGAGUGGCCGGGAAGGGUCUUGGGAGUCCAAAACCCCAUGAGAAGGAAAGAAACUGAGUUAGACCUGUGAGCAAAGAGGUGGCCUUGGCCAACGGGCAGAGCCAGGCCAACCUGGGCAAAAGUCAGGUCUCCAAUUUUGCCUCCCCAACCUGCUGGGCAGGGAGCCAGGGACAGAUGGGGCAGGAAGAAGGCUUGGGCUGACUCCCCCCGCCCCCGCCUUUCCCCUGCUUGCCUGGGACCCACGCACACCAGGAGUCCUCGGCGAAGUCCCCCAUGGGGCAGGAAGGGCAGACACCCCAGAGCAGAUGGGCAGGUAAGGGCAGCACCCGGAAGGAACGCAGUUCUCGGCCCCAGCCAGGCUGCUCCCCACACUCUGUGCUCCGUAGGCCUCAGAAGCAGUGCCCCUCCUCACCCUCCUUUGACUAAACACCAUUUUAGAGAAGCUGUUCCAGUCACUUGAGGUGAAACGGAGCGUGUAUGUGUGUAGGGGGGAGUGGGAGUUACAAGCUUUCGUGGCAACCUGAACUUUUUCCGUGUUGAGUUUUUCCCAACAGUGAUGAAGUCACUGUGUGAUUAUUUGUUUUAAGAGCAAAUGUCGGGGUGCCCGGGUGGCUCAGUCGGUUAAGCAUCUGACUUCGGCUCAGGUCACGACCUUAGUUUGUGAGUUCGAGCCCCACGUCGGGCUCUGCGCUGACAGCUCAGAGCCUGGAGCCUGCCUCGGAUUCUGUGUCUCCAGCCCCUCUCUGCCCCUCCCGUGCUUGUGCUCU